GCGUUGGUAGUCUGGUGGUAGAAUUCUCACCUUCCAUGUGGGAGACCGAGGUUCAUUUCCAAGCCAAUGCA
rnacentral:tRNA from 1 species